rnacentral:rRNA from 1 species
UGGGGAUAAUGGAAUAGGACCCUGACCUCCUAUUUUCAGUUGGUUUUGUUUACAGCGAGGUUAUAUCAGGGUAAUGAUUAAUAGGGAUAGUUGGGGGCAUUAAUAUUUAAUUGUCAGAGGUGAAAUUCUUGGAUUUAUGAAAGAUUAACUUCUGCGAAAGCGUUUGCCAAGGAUGUUUUCAUUAAUCAAGAACGAAAGUUAGGGGAUCGAAGACGAUCAGAUACCGUCGUAGUCUUAACCAUAAACGAUGCCGACCAGCGAUUAGGAGACGUUGAAUACAAAACACCGCUGUUAAUCCUUUCGGGGGUUAAUAGUUGGUGAAUGACUCCCUAGCAGCUUGUGA